rnacentral:rRNA from 1 species
UUAAACUGAAGAGUUUGAUCCUGGCUCAGAUUGAACGCUGGCGGCAUGCCUUACACAUGCAAGUCGAACGGCAGCACGGGUGCUUGCACCUGGUGGCGAGUGGCGAACGGGUGAGUAAUACAUCGGAAUGUACCUUGUAGUGGGGGAUAGCUCGGCGAAAGCCGGAUUAAUACCGCAUACGCUCUGAGGAGGAAAGCGGGGGACCUUCGGGCCUCGCGCUACAAGAGCAGCCGAUGUCAGAUUAGCUAGUUGGUGAGGUAAAAGCUCACCAAGGCGACGAUCUGUAGCUGGUCUGAGAGGACGACCAGCCACACUGGGACUGAGACACGGCCCAGACUCCUACGGGAGGCAGCAGUGGGGAAUUUUGGACAAUGGGCGCAAGCCUGAUCCAGCAAUGCCGCGUGUGUGAAGAAGGCCUUCGGGUUGUAAAGCACUUUUGUCCGGAAAGAAAUCCUCUGGGUUAAUACCUCGGGGGGAUGACGGUACCGGAAGAAUAAGCACCGGCUAACUACGUGCCAGCAGCCGCGGUAAUACGUAGGGUGCAAGCGUUAAUCGGAAUUACUGGGCGUAAAGCGUGCGCAGGCGGUUUUGUAAGACGGAUGUGAAAUCCCCGGGCUUAACCUGGGAACUGCAUUCGUGACUGCAAGGCUAGAGUAUGGCAGAGGGGGGUAGAAUUCCACGUGUAGCAGUGAAAUGCGUAGAGAUGUGGAGGAAUACCGAUGGCGAAGGCAGCCCCCUGGGCCAAUACUGACGCUCAUGCACGAAAGCGUGGGGAGCAAACAGGAUUAGAUAC